rnacentral:rRNA from 1 species
CAGUAGCCACGGGAAUACGUAGGGUGCAAGCGUUAAUCGGAAUUACUGGCGUAAAGCGUGCGCAGGCGGUUCCGCAAGUCAGAUGUGAAAUCCCCGGGCUCAACCCAUAGUCUGCACGGGAAACUGUCGGGCUUGAGAAUGGGAGAGGUGAGUGGAAUUUCCGGUGUAGCGGUGAAAUGCGUAGAUGUCGGAAGGAACACCUGUGGCGAAAGCGGCUCACUGGACCAUUUCUGACGCUGAUGCACGAAAGCGUGGGGAGCAAACAGGAUUAGAUACCCCAGUAGUCCCUGUCUCUUAUACA